AAGUAGUAUAUGUUAUAAUCUUAAAACUUAAAAAAUUUGGCGGUAUUUUAUCUUGUCAGAGGAACCUGUUGAUUAAUUGAUACCCCACGACUUAAUUUACUUUUAAUAAUAUAUUUGUAUACCGCUGUCAUGAAUCUACUUAAAAGUAAACUUUUUUAUUUUAUAAAUUUUAUGUUAAGUCAAGGUGCAAUAUUUAAAGAAUAAUAUGGGUUACUGUUUGUAGUAUGAAUGGAGGAAAUUGGAUUUGAAAGUAAAUUUAUUUAAGAAAUUAUAUGAAUAAAGAUUCUAAAAUAUG
rnacentral:rRNA from 1 species